rnacentral:tRNA from 1 species
GCCUGGGUGGCUCAGUCGGUUGAGCAUCUGACUUCGGCUCAGGUCACGAUCUCACGGUUCAAGAGUUCAAGUCUCGCCUUGGGCU